GAGUUUGAUCCUGGCUCAGAGUGAACGCUGGCGGCAGGCCUAACACAUGCAAGUCGAACGGCAGCACAGGGAGCUUGCUCCUGGGUGGCGAGUGGCGGACGGGUGAGGAAUACAUCGGAAUCUGCCCUGUCGUGGGGGAUAACGUAGGGAAACUUACGCUAAUACCGCAUACGACCUUCGGGUAGGAAAGGGGGGAGUCGCAAGACCUCUCGCGAUUGGAUGAGCCGAUGUCGGAUUAGCUAGUUGGCGGGGUAAAGGCCCACCAAGGCGACGAUCCGUAGCUGGUCUGAGAGGAUGAUCAGCCACACUGGAACUGAGACACGGUCCAGACUCCUACGGGAGCAGCAGUGGGGAAUAUUGGACAAUGGGCGCAAAACCUGAUCCAGCCAUGCCGCGUGAGUGAAGAAGGCCUUC
rnacentral:rRNA from 1 species